AGUCAUAUGCUUGUCUCAAAGAUUAAGCCAUGCAUGUCUAAGUAUAAGCAAUCUAUACUGUGAAACUGCGAAUGGCUCAUUAAAUCAGUUAUCGUUUAUUUGAUAGUACCUUACUACAUGGAUACCUGUGGUAAUUCUAGAGCUAAUACAUGCUAAAAACCCCGACUUCGGGAGGGGUGUAUUUAUUAGAUAAAAAACCAAUGCCCCUCGGGGCUCCUUGGUGAAUCAUAAUAACUUAACGAAUCGCAUGGCCUUGCGCCGGCGAUGGUUCAUUCAAAUUUCUGCCCUAUCAACUUUCGAUGGUAGGAUAGUGGCCUACCAUGGUGGCAACGGGUAACGGGGAAUUAGGGUUCGAUUCCGGAGAGGGAGCCUGAGAAACGGCUACCACAUCCAAGGAAGGCAGCAGGCGCGCAAAUUACCCAAUCCCGACACGGGGAGGUAGUGACAAUAAAUACUGAUACGGGGCUCUUUUGGGUCUCGUAAUUGGAAUGAGUACAAUCUAAAUCCCUUAACGAGGAACAAUUGGAGGGCAA
rnacentral:rRNA from 1 species